GCAUUAAUGGGGUAGUGGUAACCUGGGUCGUUGCCAUAAAUGUUGUGAAUAUAGAGUAUAGCUCGACCCGCCGGGGGUUCGAUUCCCUCUUAAUGCA